rnacentral:rRNA from 1 species
UACGUAGGGUGCAAGCGUUAAUCGGAAUUACUGGGCGUAAAGCGUGCGCAGGCGGUUUUGUAAGUCUGUCGCGAAAGCCCCGGGCUUAACCUGGGAAUUGCGAUGGAGACUGCAAGGCUUGAAUCUGGCAGAGGGGGGUAGAAUUCCACGUGUAGCAGUGAAAUGCGUAGAGAUGUGGAGGAACACCGAUGGCGAAGGCAGCCCCCUGGGUCAAGAUUGACGCUCAUGCACGAAAGCGUGGGGAGCAAACAGG